UUACGUCUAUAUCACGUUGAAACACCUGUUCCCGCACGAUCACAGACACUAAGCAACGUCGAGCUUGAUCAGUACUUACAUGGGUGACCAAUUAGGAAUUCCAGGCGCUGUAAG